rnacentral:misc_RNA from 1 species
GAUGAAGAACGUAGCGAAAUGCGAUACGUAAUGUGAAUUGCAGAAUUCAGUGAAUCAUCGAGUCUUUGAACGCACAUUGCGCCCCCUGGUAUUCCGGGGGGCAUGCCUGUCCGAGCGUCAUUGCGGCCCUCAAGCACGGCUUGUGUGUUGGGCCUCCGCCCCCCGGCUCCCGGGGGGCGGGCCCGAAAGGCAGCGGCGGCACCGCGUCCGGUCCUCGAGCGUAUGGGGCUUCGUCACCCGCUCCGUAGGCCCGGCCGGCGCCCGCCGGCGACCCCCCUCAAUCUUUCCAGGUUGACCUCGGAUCAGGUAGGGAUACCCGCUGAACUUAAGCAUAUCAAUAAGCGGAGGA